rnacentral:rRNA from 1 species
GAUUGACCGUGUCAAGUAGCAUAAUCAUUUGUCUUUUAAUUAAAGGCUUGUAUGAAUGGUUGGAUGAGAUAUAAUCUAUUUUUAUUUAAUUAAAAAUGAAUUUUAAUUUUUAGUAAAAAUGCUAAAAUAAAAAAUAUAGACGAGAAGACCCUAUAAAUCUUUAUUAUUUUUUUAUUAAUUUAUUAAUAGAAUAUAAAAUUUAUUAAUAAAAAAAAUAAUUUUAUUGGGGUGAUAAUGAAAUUUAAUAAACUUUUGUUUUAUUUUAUAAAUAUAAUUAAUUUAAUGAUCCAUUUUUAGUGAUUAUAAAAUUAAGUUACUUUAGGGAUAACAGCGUAAUUAUUUUAAAGAGUUCAUAUCGAUAAAAUAGUUUGCGACCUCGAUGUUGAAUUAAGAGUAAGUUUAGGUGUAGAAGUA